rfam:Brassica napus, WGS project CCCW01000000 data, contig: 15394
GUCAAGCUAAGUAACGAGAGUUUAUGACCGAGUGGAACACUGGUUCGAUCCACGGGUCGGAUCUGUGUGGCAUGUUUCUGGGCUGUCCAUUCUUAGCUGAGAAUUAUUUGUCUGGUUUGAGCGAAGGCUCGAAUCAGGUGGGUGUUAAAGUGGAAGGGUAAUGUGUCAGGCUGUUUCACAGAGCAGCGACUACUUCUUGCUCUCUGCAGUGGACAGAUAACGGCUCGGCGCCACUCAAACUCGCCAAUAUGGCCUGCUGGUUCGUUUUCAGUUGAACCAC